GAUGAACGCUAGCGGCAGGCUUAAUACAUGCAAGUCGAGGGGCAGCAUGUCCCGAGCAAUCGGGAUGAUGGCGACCGGCAAACGGGUGCGGAACACGUACAGAACCUUCCUUCGAGCGGGGAAUAGCCCAGAGAAAUUUGGAUUAAUACCCCAUAGCAUAACGGAGUGGCAUCACUUUGUUAUUAAAGAUUUAUCACUUGAAGACGGCUGUGCGGCUGAUUAGGUAGUUGGCGGGGUAACGGCCCACCAAGCCUGCGAUCAGUAACUGGUGUGAGAGCACGACCAGUCACACGGGCACUGAGACACGGGCCCGACUCCUACGGGAGGCAGCAGUAAGGAAUAUUGGUCAAUGGACGAAAGUCUGAACCAGCCAUGCCGCGUGGAGGAUGAAGGCCCUCUGGGUUGUAAACUUCUUUUAUAUGGGACGAAAAUGGGACUUUCUAGUUCAACUGACGGUACCAUGUGAAUAAGCACCGGCUAACUCCGUGCCAGCCGCCGCCGUAACAC
rnacentral:rRNA from 1 species